UGUCUGAACAACGUGCCGUGGCUUAGCACUUAAUUAUAAGGGCAAUUCUUUAGAGGAUGAAAAAGCACCAAAAUGUCAGCUUUCAGAAGUUGAUCUUUAUUUUAGUCUAUUUGAGAUGAUAGAGACUUCUUUUUAUGCCUCAAAGAAAUGAAUGUGAAAAGAGUGUCACAAGUUUUACUGUAUUUAAUUCGGCUUUCCCUAAGCCUAAAAUGGAGAAAGCAUUAAUAAAUACUGAACUCCCUGUCUCAGAUCUGCCUGAAACAGACUUUAAUAAAUUACAUUUCAUGCUGCAAUCCAAGCAAUGAGCUGCCACACUUAUGAUUAACAGAGCAUCAUUCUUAUAAAAGAACUACAGUUUUAAAAUAAAAGAAUUGUGUUAUACAGUGCUAUCACACCAAAAUCAAAAAGAGGUACAAUGUUGUUCCAAUGUUAAUGUUAAGCUGUCCAUUCAAUUCUGUGUCAGAUUUUAAAGUAUAAGUACUAAUUGACAUCAAA
rnacentral:lncRNA from 1 species